rnacentral:lncRNA from 1 species
AACAAGGACAGGCUGGACCAUUUCUAUUUAACAUUUUACUGGAGACCAUAAUCAUCCAAGAAGGCAAAAAGAAAAGAUAUUAAUAGCAUGCUGAUGGAAAGGAAUGAGACCCAUAACCUGAGUCAAUCCAUUAAAAAAAAUCAGCUAAUAGAGGGACAUUCUACAAAAUACCUGACCAGUGCUCCUCAAAACUCUCAAGAGAAAGGAGACUGUAUUGACUUGCACCUUCAGUUUCUUUGGAACCUGUCCAGAACUAGUAAGAACAUUUAAUGUUUCACAUGAAUGGAACUUCAGAAGUCAAGAGGGGAGGAGAGUCCUGGUUUGGUCAAGGCAGCAGUUCAAUGGUGUCCUCAAGCAUCCCUGUCCCUUCCAUGUAUGUACUCUGGAGGUGUUAUGCCAGGCAGGUUUCAACGUGGAUGUAGCAAACCUGACAUCAUAACCAGACCCAGAACAUGCAGAGAAACCAGAUUUUUUUUUCUUAUGCCUUGUUUUUGGAACCAAGGAAACUUUCCCGGCAGCCUCCUAACAGACUGUCCUUCAUGUGUCCUUGGCCAGGAUUGGUCUCAUGUCCUUCCCUGAACCAAUCACUGGCAGAAAGGAGAAUUGCAUCACCAUCAUUGGCUUUGACACAUCCAAUCACUUUUGAUGGAGUAGAUCUGGGAGAAUCAACCAGUAUGGUGUGAUAUAUCUCCCCUAGGAAGCCACCUCGGACUUUCCAGCCUGGAUCAGGUGACCCCACUGGGUUCUCUCAGCUUCCCAUGCUUGUCUCCAUCACAACUCUGGCCACCAUGUGUUAUAAGGGUGGCUUUCCUGGUAAGACUUCCCCUCCGAUUUGGCUCUUCCUCUCAGUCUCAUCCAUUGUUUCCUGUGCCACCCUAAUUCUCCCUACACUCAGAAUUACUUGCCCAAAAUCCCUCUUCCCCCAUAGAACUUGAAGUUCAUAAGAGCAAGUGUUAUUUCUGCCUCCUUUACUGCUGUGUUCCCAGCCCCUAGAAGAGUACCAGGCCCAUCAAGAAGCAUAAUAAAUAUUUGUUUUGAAUGACUUCUUUGCUAGGACUAGGACUCUGAAUCAGGGAUGGGAGAUGCUGGAGAAGGAACUAUAAGAUAAAUAUUGAGCUGUCACAUUCAACGGAACCUUAUGCAAAUUUCCACCAGGAGUGGUCCGAGGCUCAGAAAAUGCCCACUGAGCUGAGCCACUGGGCAUUACACCCAUUAAUGGCUCUGAAUAAUACCCAACAACUGUGGGGUGUUCAUGGCUCACAAAUGACCUGCCCACACAUUAGACCUCCUGCCUCUCUAGGCGACCCCGUGUAGGAGGCUCAUUUUAUAGAUGACACCUGGGGAGGUGAAAGGACAGGCUGAGAGGCUUAGUUGUCAAUUCAUAGUGCCAAGGCUUGAAUCCUGAGUCUGCCUUGACUGCAAACUGGUGCUCUCUCCUCUUCAUACAAAUACCAACGGGUUUCUAGCCUCCAACUCUAUCACCAUCGAGGUUACUCUCCUUGGGAUAAUGUGUAACUGUCAACCGCCCCCCAUAUUGGAUUUUGUGGGAGAAACUUUUUUUUCUCCCUUAUAAAGAAGUUUAUUAAACAUAUGGUAUUUUGUACUAUUACCCAUCAAAUAUUCACUCUCUCCUUCCUGGUCAGUGGGCAGAGUAUAUUUCCUCACUCUG